rnacentral:rRNA from 1 species
UACAGAGACUGCAAGCGUUAUUCGGAUUCACUGGGCGUAAAGGGUGCGCAGGCGGCCAUGUGUGUCAGGUGUGAAAGCCCGAGGCUCAACCUCGGAAUUGCGCCUGAAACUACAUGGCUAGAGUACUGGAGAGGGUAGCGGAAUUCAUGGUGUAGCAGUGAAAUGCGUAGAUAUCAUGAGGAACACCAGUGGCGAAGGCGACUUACUGGACGACUGUUGACGCUGAGGUGCGAAAGCGUGGGGAGCAAACAGG